rnacentral:rRNA from 1 species
AUUGAACGCUGGCGGCAGGCCUAACACAUGCAAGUCGAGCGGCAGCGGGGAAGUAGCUUGCUACUUUUGCCGGCGAGCGGCGGACGGGUGAGUAAUGUCUGGGAAAUUGCCCAGUCGAGGGGGAUAACAGUUGGAAACGACUGCUAAUACCGCAUAUGCCCUACGGGGGAAAGCAGGGGACCUUCGGGCCUUGCGCGAGUGGAUAUGCCCAGGUGGGAUUAGCUAGUUGGUGAGGUAAUGGCUCACCAAGGCGACGAUCCCUAGCUGGUCUGAGAGGAUGAUCAGCCACACUGGAACUGAGACACGGUCCAGACUCCUACGGGAGGCAGCAGUGGGGAAUAUUGCACAAUGGGGGAAACCCUGAUGCAGCCAUGCCGCGUGUGUGAGGAAGGCCUUCGGGUUGUAAAGCACUUUCAGCGAGGAGGAAAGGUCAGUAGCUAAUAUCUGCUGACUGACGUUACUCGCAGAAGAAGCACCGGCUAACUCCGUGCCAGCAGCCGCCGUAACAC